rnacentral:rRNA from 1 species
UGGGGAAUCUUCCGCAAUGGACGAAAGUCUGACGGAGCAACGCCGCGUGAGUGAAGAAGGUUUUCGGAUCGUAAAACUCUGUCUUUUGGGGCGAACGUGAGUAUGGUGAACAAUCAUAGUCAGUGACGGUACCAAAGGAGGAAGCCACGGCUAACUACGUGCCAGCAGCCGCGGUAAUACGUAGGUGACAAGCGUUGUCCGGAAUUAUUGGGCGUAAAGAGCGCGUAGGCGGGAUAGUCAGUCUGUUGUAAAAGUGCGGGGCUCAACCCCGUGAUGGCAAUGGGAAAGCAAGCUAUUCUUGUAGUUGCAGGAGGAGGAAAGGUAGGAAGUUCCAAUGCUGUAGCGGUGAAAUGCGUAGAUAUUGGGAGGAACACCAGUGGCGAAGGCGACUUUCUGGACUGUGUCUGACGCUGAGGCGCGAAAGCCAGGGGAGCGAACGGGAUUAGAUACCCGUACGUCCUGGCGCUGAAACCGAUGGGUAACUAGGGUGUGGGGGUGAUCGAGGCCCUUCCGUGCGCAUUACGCAAUAAGUACCAGCCCUGGGGAGUACGGUCGCAAGACUGAAACUCAAAGGAAUUGACGGGGUCAUAGCUGUUUCCU